ACUCCGGGGAUAACAGGCUGAUUCCGCCCAAGAGUUCAUAUCGACGGCGGAGUUUGGCACCUCGAUGUCGGCUCAUCACAUCCUGGGGCUGUAGUCGGUCCCAAGGGUAUGGCUGUUCGCCAUUUAAAGUGGUACGUGAGCUGGGUUUAAAACGUCGUGAGACAGUUUGGUCCCUAUCUGCAGUGGGCGUUGGAAGUUUGACGGGGGCUGCUCCUAGUACGAGAGGACCGGAGUGGACGAACCUCUGGUGUACCGGUUGUAACGCCAGUUGCAUAGCCGGGUAGCUAAGUUCGGAAGAGAUAAGCGCUGAAAGCAUCUAAGCGCGAAACUCGCCUGAAGAUGAGACUUCCCUUGUGGUUUAACCACACUAAAGAGUCGUUCGAGACCAGGACGUUGAUAGGUGGGGUGUGGAAGCGCGGUAACGUGUGAAGCUAACCCAUACUAAUUGCUCGUGAGGCUUGACUCU
rnacentral:rRNA from 1 species